rnacentral:lncRNA from 1 species
CCAGGGGACUCAAAUAAAAACAUUCCAGGGUUAUACGGUUAACGGUUUAUGAGUUAAAAAAACAUACCGACAAAUUUAUUCCGUAAAGGUACAUAACUCCUAUAAAAUUUCAUCGAAUCGCUUCGAUCCAAAUUAGCCAAAAAUUCCUGAGGAUGUAACGAACAAUUUGUAAAAAGAAUUUUGUCGCUUUCUUAUUUUGUUACGAAGGAGAUGCACACACAUGACAAACAGUGAAUAGGGAGAUAACUCUUACAAAGAAAAUGGUUCGGCUUAGCAGGGUGAAAUUUAAAAGCGCAUAAACUAUACGAUACAAUAUGAAAAAAAUCUAAGCGACAUAUUGCGAAACAAACAUUUAUCGCAAGAACAAAAUUUGGCGGAAGAAAAAAAAAAAAAAAAAAAAAUAAUAAUAAUAAUAAAGAAAUACAAUAGGUCUUUCCACAGAAAGGUGGAAAGACCUAAUAAUAAUAAUCAGAACAAAUACAAUAGGCUUUCCACAGAAAAGUGGAAAGACCUAAUAAUCAGAACAAAAACAAUAAGUCUUUCCACAGAAAAGUGGAAAGACUUAAUAAUAAUCAGAACAAAAACAAUAAGUCUUUCCACAAAAAAGUGGAAAGACUUAAUAAUCAGA